rnacentral:lncRNA from 1 species
UCUCUCUCUCUUUCUUAAUACUGCCGCAAUUUUCUCGUAUGUGUCUGCUGUCAUAUGGGGUUUAUUUAACAUGAAAUAAGAGAAAUUUUGCUAACCAUUAAGGGAGUGUGAAGCCAUUAAGUACCACCGAAGUACUGUUCUCUUUCCUGUCUCCUCGUCGUCUUUCCUCGCCUCUCUCACUCCUUCCGCUCUCAGCAGUAGGUAUGAAGGUGGAGGAGGACGCUCCAUCCUGCAGAAGGCUUCCCUCCUCAGGUACCACACUCGCUCCGGAAGCCAUCUCUCCUCGGUUCUCAGCGAGAAAACCACGUUGGUGACAUGUGAUUUUGGUCAGAAUACAUCAGCCUCCAUGGCGUACAUGGGAAAGCCAGGCAUUUCUUCUGCUCCUAUUGUUGCUUGUUUCUCUCUCUCCCUGUUUCUUCUUGUUAGCAGAUAAGAGUUCGGCGGCAGGUGCUGCAAAGCAGUGUCGCUCUCUCUCUCUCUCUAUAUAUGUGCCUGCCUUCGUGAAUUAGAAUCAGAUGGAAAGAAAUGUUGUAUAUACGUCUUGAUGUCUGUGUGGAAGUGUAAGCGGAGGUACAUAGUAAUUACCCAAGCGAGAAUGCUGCGAGUUGUCCUUCAAUCAUCCACUCUCUUCGUAGAUCUUGUUUCACUUGGAUUGAGUAAAGUGUCGAAGCAUAAUUGGCAGUCAUGAUUAUGAUCUUUUUCUUCUCUCUUUGUCCGAUAAGAUAGCAUAGCUGAAGCAUAAAAGUUUCUGAUCACAUCAGAAUGCAACGAUUCUUCAUUUCUUGAGCAAAUCAGUUCUUCGUAUAGGCAGAUGCAAUUGUCUCUUGCACCAACCACUCUUGUAUUAUUAUUUCCGUGUCUUCUUCACAUUAUGAAUGAAAGCUUCCUUCGAAGCAGCAAUCACUCGAGCAUGGAAUCCUAUUGUCAGAAAUCGAACGUUGUUGUCGGCAAUGUAAGCCCCACACUGGCCGAGCAACCUUGUAAUCUGUAAUGAUCAUAUAAUGAUGUAUUUGGACUCAUUAUAGAAGGGUUUCCAUUAAACUAAUCAAGCUUAUUACAGUCAAUAAUCCGGUUUUCCAUGUGGUUGAGUACCGAUGUUGUUGAACUGCUAGUUUUGCCUUUUGGAGGAGGCCAAAGAGAUUUGGAUUUAGAUGCUUUGGGAAGUAGUGAUAUAGGAAUGAUCGAAUUAGUGUUUAAUUGCUGUAAAUAUAGCAUCUUGCAUAUGUUUUCUUUGUGCGUGGUAGAUUGUGUUGAGGGCUUAUUUUUAUGUUCUUCCAGAACUAUGCGGCAGAUAUUGCGCCCUUGAGUAGGGCUCGGAAAGGUCACCCGUUGACUUCUUGUGGGACUAUCGGUCUUAAAUGGAGG